UGAAGCCUCCCUAGAAACCGGGGAGGAGUGGUUUCCAAGAGUUUAGGGGUUGGCAGACAGGAGGAGGUUUGGGGAGAGAAGUGCAGCGUCCUCCACACUUGGUCCUCUGUCUCUCAUCGUCCCAAGUUCCUGAGUUACAUCCUGUUCUCAUCCGCCGUGAUCUAGAUCCAAACUGGGAUCCCGUGUUACAUACGUGUCAUGACCGCUGACUGUCCACCUGUGUGGGGGAAGGUCCUACGUGUUUCCUGAUCUUUUGCAACCUAUUUGUGAAGAAUGGCGACUCUACCCUGGAAUGGCAUUCUGUGUUAUUUGGCAAGAUCAUGCUUGCGUGUGAAUGAACCCACACAGAGGAACACCUACAGCGUAAGCGCCACCUUAGGAUGGCCCCCGGCACCUGAGAAUGGGGUAUGUGUUUGCUUUCAAGUACACACAAUUAGCUUCAAAUGUCAACUCACAGUUUGCGCCAAGGUUUCCACGUCCUCCCUUUCAAGCCGUACAGUCCUGAAACGCAAGAGUCAGAAAUGAGCUAGAAGAUGACAGGUCUGCCAUCGACAGUCGGAAAGGAGAGGUCAUCUCGCCUCUGCCUGCAUCUGACAGUUCUCAGGCCGAUACCAGCUGCUCGUUAAGAUCUGAAAAGUGUGUUCCU